AACAUAAAACUGAAAAACAAUUAAUGAACUUGAAAACCAUUAAUGCUUCCAUCAUUAUGUUGAUACACAUCUGCAUGAAUUUCUAAAAAUAUAAUUAUUAUU